AUUGAACGCUGGCGGCAGGCCUAACACAUGCAAGUCGAGCGGAUGAAGGGAGCUUUCUCCUGGAUUCAGCGGCGGACGGGUGAGUAAUUCCUACGAAUCUGCCUGGUAUUGGGGGAUAACGUCCGGAAACGGGCGCUAAUACCGCAUACGUCCUGAUGUAGAAAGUGGUGGAUCUUCGGACCUCACCCUAUCAGAUGAGCCUAGGUCGGAUUAGCUAGUUGGUGGGGUAAAGGCCUACCAAGGCGACGAUCCGUAACUGGUCUGAGAGGAUGAUCAGUCACACUGGAACUGAGACACGGUCCAGACUCCUACGGGAGGCAGCAGUGGGGAAUAUUGGACAAUGGGCGAAAGCCUGAUCCAGCCACGCCGCGUGUGUGAAGAAGGUCUUCGGAUUGUAAAGCACUUUAAGUUGGGAGGAAGGGAAGUAAGUUAAUACCUUGCUGUUUUGACGUUACCAACAGAAUAAGCACCGGCUAACUUCGUG
rnacentral:rRNA from 1 species